GACGAACGCUGGCGGCGUGCUUAACACAUGCAAGUCGAACGGUGAAGGGUCCGGUUUUUGCUGGUUCUGGAUGAGUGGCGCACGGGUGAGUAACACGUUAGUAACCUGCCCCCUUCUUCUGGAUAACCGCAUGAAAGUGUGGCUAAUACGGGAUAUUCUGCGCCUGCUGCAUGGUGGGUGUGGGAAAGAUAUUGUUUCGUUGUGGUAUGGGCUCGCGGCCUAUCAGCUUGUUGGUGGGGUGAUGGCCUACCAAGGCGGUUACGGGUAGCAGGCCUGAGAGGGUGGACAGUCACACGGGGAGUGAGACACGGCCCAGACUCCUACGGGAGGCAGCAGUGGGGAAUAGUGCACAAAGGGCGCAAGCCUGAUGCAGCGACGCCGCGUGAGGGAUGGAGGCCUUAGGGUUGUAAACCUCUUUCGCCAGUGAAGCAGGCCUGUCCCUGUUGUGGGUGGGUUGAAGGUAGCUGGAGAAGAAGAGCCGGCUAACUACGUG
rnacentral:rRNA from 1 species